CACGCUCUGUUUACACAUCCACUCACACCUGUGCACCCUCUGUAGUUCUAUGGUCUGGGGGCUCUGUCCUCCUGCUGUGGUUCUGCGUAUUUAUACAUACACACUGUAAUAAAGUCUCAUGGAAUGUAUGCCGCGUUUUAACGCAAUGUAAUACAACUUUCAGCAACGGAUCUCUUGGCUCUCGCAUCGAUGAAGAACGCAGCGAAAUGCGAUAAGUAAUGUGAAUUGCAGAAUUCAGUGAAUCAUCGAAUCUUUGAACGCACCUUGCGCCCUUUGGCUAUUCCGAAGGGCAUGCCUGUUUGAGUAUCAUGAACACCUCAACUCCUCAUGGCUUGCCAUGAUGAGCUUGGACUUGGGGGUCUUGCUGGCCUGUGGUCAGCUCCUCUCAAAUGAAUCAGCUUGCCAGUGAUUGGUGGCACCACAGGUGUGAUAAACAUCUACGCUUGUGGUUCCCCACCAUGUAACCU
rnacentral:rRNA from 1 species